AAUCAACGCUGGCGGCGUGCCUCAGACAUGCAAGUCGAACGAUUAAAGCUCUCUUCGGAGAGUGUAUAGAGUGGCGCACGGGUGAGUAACACGUAAGUAAUCUACCCUCGAGUGGGGAAUAACAACCGGAAACGGUUGCUAAUACCGCAUAAUGCAGCGGCACCGCAAGGUGACAGUUGUUAAAGAUUUAUCGCUUGAGGAGGAGCUUGCGGCAGAUUAGCUAGUUGGUAGGGUAACGGCUUACCAAGGCUACGAUCUGUAACCGGUCUAAGAGGACGGUCGGUCACACUGACACUGAAUAACGGGUCAGACUCCUACGGGAGGCAGCAGUCGGGAAUUUUGGGCAAUGGGCGAAAGCCUGACGCAGCCAAUCCGCGUGGGUGAUGAAGGCCUU
rnacentral:rRNA from 1 species